CGGCAUAGGGCACUACAGCCCAGAACUCCUGGGCUCAAGCCAUCCUCCCACCUCAGCCUCCCGAGUAGCUGGGACUGCAGGCAUGCGCCACCGCGCCCCGCAGCUUGAAGCUUUAACAGCUCCAUGUUUUAACUCCCUUUAUAGGGGGGAAAGAGAGUAAUUGGGAAAGAAGAGUAGUUUGGCCUAAGACACCGUUAACAACGUGUUGUGGAAAUAAGCUAGAAAACACAGUACUCCAUAAACAUGGAACAUGAAUACAGAAACAGAUUAUUGAUGUCUGUCAAAGGCAUAAUUAUAUAAUUGCCUAUUGUAAAGUAAGCAAAUAUAAUAAAAUACUCAUUCAAGUUUAUGGUGCCAGAAGCUGUACAUUGGCAGUGCCCCCGUAUUCUGUGAACUUGUUUUAGACUUUGGAAAACUUUAAAUUCCUUUGAAUUCUCUGUCAGCAUUUGAAAACAUGAUUUUUUCAUAAAAAUAUCUGGAUUUUUGUCUCCUGAAAGGUCAGAAGAUCUAGCAACACAGCAACACCAGGCCCGUGUUCCACUUGACAAAUAGUGGCUGCUGGGUAGCCUUCUUAGAGGAUUGAAGGAAAAGAUGAACAGAUUGGCAACGGUGAUUUGGAAAAACAGCGGUGCACUAUGAUGCCUGUCUCUCUCACUAGAUUGUGAACUCCUAAAGACACUGGACUCAUGGCAGUAGUGAUCGCUGCAAGGACUGUGGCGCAGGAUGGAUAUUUCUGAGUGUCGUGGAUGCUUACAGACAGAAGGUGAAAAGCUCAGGUUCUGAAGCUCUUGGUUCAGUUCUUGGUCUGAGAACUAGAGAAUUUCCAUGGCAGCCCUAAAAUAACCUUUUAUUUCUUGUAGCCACAGGGUUGAGAUUGUUAAAAAUUAAACACAAAAUUUAAUUUUACAGGUUGCAGAACUACGACAUCAGUAAUUUUGUUGGGAAGUGAAUGCUGGGUUUCUCAUGUGAAAGUUAGGUCCUUGAUUGGGAAGGAAGGAGACCCCAAAACUUGGAAAGGGACAUCUGGUUGGUCUCAAAUGAGAGUGAGAAUCUUGAACCCCUGAGUUGCUCUGAGUCUCCCUUGCCAGGGUGAGUAGCUUGCCCUUGUAUAUCUGCAGGGUUUUCCCCCUCAAAAGCCCUGGUUCAUCUGGAGCAAAUACUUCACAAACAAGAGGAUGCCCACUCUCCUCGGAACCUACCUCAAAUACCCUUUAUUGCCACUAGACCCGUCACCAGGGUCAGUUGUCAUCAUAUUCCAGUGGCUGGGAAGUGGCAGCAGGUCUCUGUCUAUAACUCUGGCACUGAGCCCAGAUUCCCAAAUUUGCCCCUUAUUCCAGAGGGUCCCUGAUUGCUAUACAGAGGAAGUACGGGCCAAGAUAACCUAACCAAACACCAGGUUCCAGAUUCUCAAGCAGUCUAUUUCAACACCAUGGUUUUGAAAAGUAAAUUUGAGAGGUAAUUUUAAGGCUCUUACAUAGAAGAAUUCUCCCCAAAGAAACAUAUCUAUCGUGAUUAUUGUUCAAUUCUGGACCUCUCAGCAUUGUUUUCUUGCUUUGUCAGUUACAAAAUAAAUAAUUCUAGCUUUCUGAAGGUAGAGUAGGAUGUGUGACUAAUUUACAGAGAAGCAUCUCUAGUGGAGGAUAAACAACACGAAGUAUGUAAUUCUGGCUGGGUGAGGUGGCUCAUGCCUAUAAUCCCAGCUUUGGGAUGCCGAGGUGGGUGG